AGACGUCGGUGCCCUCUGAACUGACGUCUAUAUGUCUGAAAGAAAUGACUUUUCACCUACCUGUCAGACAUAUAGACAUCAGACGGGAGAGCCCUGACGUCUAUAAUGCUAUAGACGUCGGGGCACCUACUAACUGACAUCUAUAUGGCCAACUUAUUUACGAAAGUGUCACCGGUCAUCAAUAUACGUCGAACUUACCCUUAACCGACAUCUAAAGGGUGACGUUAAACAACAUUUUUGCANUAAUGCCCUUCACACUCUUCCACACACACCUUCACUUUCCCAUUUACUUCUUUCAUGGACCACAUAAACCAUGCUCUACUUCUUCCAUCCAUUCAUCUCUUCUCUAAUUUUUCUCCUCUUCUCCAAAUCGUCCUCAACCUAAUGUCNUCCCUGUCUCCUUUUAACUUUUUCCAUUUUUCUCCAUGGCCAUGUAUUUUACUGAUCUAGAUAAAAAUGUUAUUAAUGUUUUUGUUUCAUAUAAUAUUUGACCCA
rnacentral:lncRNA from 1 species